UUACGGCCACAUCACUUUGAAACGUCUAUUCUCGUACGAUCACCAAAGUUAAGCAACGUCGAACCUAGUCAGUACCUAGAUGGGUGAACGCUUGGGAAUACCAGGUGCUGUAAG